GCUGAUCAUGGCUUCGAUAGAUGUACUCUUAACCCCCGCUCCCCAGCCGUGUCUUUAGCCAUGGGAAUGCCGUGGUGGAGUACUCAGGAGGAGACAAAGCAAAGAAGCCAGAGCCCUACUUAUAACCCCAGAGCAAGUUUUUCCAGGAACUAGAUAGGUACAAAGUGUGAGUUCAGUAGGCAAGAGGAGAGUGCCAUUCAGAGCCGGGCACAGCCCUGGGAGGGUAAGGCUUGUUGAAAACAAGUGGACACCGGGCAGCUCCGAGGGAUGAGAAAGCAACAAAGGAUCCUCAGGCGAGCUGACCUUCAAUGAGAAGGAGCAAAUGUGGAAGACGACAUAAGUAUUGAGAUCCCCGGACAUGAUGGCUGUACCUGAGGACUCUUCCAAACAAAGAUCCCAACCCUUACCCCAAAUUACUGCGCAUCUACUUUUUCUAACACUGUCAGUUCGAGCAGCUGUUCUUGAUGGCAUCGUGGAGCUUAGCUGGUGGGUAUUCCUGGGCAAGCCUGGAAGGUGAAUGAUGCUUAAAAUCAGACAGGGACAAUGGAAGAAAUGAAUUCUUCCGCCCGGACAAGAGGAGCCCCAGAAUA